rnacentral:lncRNA from 1 species
CUUUGUGGAGCUGGGAGGACACAGCUAAAGGAAGAACUUGCGACUUGGGUCACAGAAAAUCCCUUUGAACAAAAGAGAACCUUGGACUUGAAAACUACAGAAGAGGUGAGAAGCAAUAGAUAUCUUUCUCGGCAUCAGUUGAAACCUGCAAGAAAGCUUGGCUUCGGCUGAUAUUUGUGUGGAUUGGAUUUUUUAAGAACCAGAACAGAAGAGACCAGUGCACCCACAUUUUCCUGCCGUGAGUGAUGAAGAGGAGGAAGAAGAAGGUGAGUGUGUCAAGGAUAAUAACCUGUGAUGCC